CACGUAGGGUGCGAGCGUUGUCCGGAAUUAUUGGGCGUAAAGAGCUCGUAGGCGGUGUGUCGCGUCGGCCGUGAAAACCUGCAGCUUAACUGUGGGCGUGCGGUCGAUACGGGCAUCACUGGAGUUCGGCAGGGGAGACUGGAAUUCCUGGUGUAGCGGUGAAAUGCGCAGAUAUCAGGAAGAACACCUAUGGCGAAGGCAGCUCUCUGGGACGGUACUGACGCUGAGACGCGAAAGCGUGGGGAGCGAACAGG
rnacentral:rRNA from 1 species